rnacentral:rRNA from 1 species
AGAGUUUGAUCCUGGCUCAGGACGAACGCUGGCGGCGUGCCUAACACAUGCAAGUCGAACGGAGUUGUGAGAGAGCUUGCUUUCUUGCAGCUUAGUGGCGGACGGGUGAGUAACGCGUGAGUAACCUGCCUUUCAGUGGGGGAUAACACAGGGAAACCUGUGCUAAUACCGCAUAACGCAAAACCAUGGCAUCAUGGUAUUGCCAAAGAUUUAUUGCUGAAAGAUGGACUCGCGUCCAAUUAGGUAGUUGGUGAGGUAACGGCCCACCAAGCCGACGAUUGGUAGCCGGGCUGAGAGGCUCAACGGCCACAUUGGGACUGAGACACGGCCCAGACUCCUACGGGAGGCAGCAGUGGGGGAUAUUGCACAAUGGAGGAAACUCUGAUGCAGCAACGCCGCGUGAAGGAAGAAGGUCUUCGGAUUGUAAACUUUUGUCUUGUGGGAAGAUAAUGACGGUACCACAGGAGGAAGCAACGGCUAACUACGUGCCAGCAGCCGCGGUAAUACGUAGGUUGCGAGCGUUGUCCGGAUUUACUGGGUGUAAAGGGUGCGUAGGCGGAUCUGCAAGUCAGAUGUGAAAGACCAUGGCUUAACCAUGGUAUUGCAUUUGAAACUGCCGGUCUUGAGUACAGGAGAGGUAAGCGGAAUUCCCAGUGUAGCGGUGAAAUGCGUAGAUAUUGGGAGGAACACCAGUGGCGAAGGCGGCUUACUGGACUGUAACUGACGCUGAGGCACGAAAGCGUGGGGAUCAAACAGGAUUAGAUACCCUGGUAGUCCACGCUGUAAACGAUGGAUACUAGGUGUAGGGGGUAUCGACUCCCCCUGUGCCGGAGUUAACACAAUAAGUAUCCCACCUGGGGAGUACGAUCGCAAGAUUGAAACUCAAAGGAAUUGACGGGGGCCCGCACAAGCAGUGGAGUAUGUGGUUUAAUUCGAAGCAACGCGAAGAACCUUACCAGAACUUGACAUCCUGAGAAUCCUUACGAGAGUAGGGAGUGCCUUUCGGGGAACUCAGAGACAGGUGGUGCAUGGUUGUCGUCAGCUCGUGUCGUGAGAUGUUGGGUUAAGUCCCGCAACGAGCGCAACCCCUAUGGUUAGUUGCUACAUUCAGUUGAGCACUCUAGCCAGACUGCCGUUGACAAAACGGAGGAAGGCGGGGACGACGUCAAAUCAUCAUGCCCUUUAUGUUCUGGGCUACACACGUACUACAAUGGCGAUUAACAAAGGGGAGCGAAGUAGCGAUAUGGAGCAAAUCCCAAAAAAUCGUCUCAGUUCGGAUUGCAGGCUGAAACUCGCCUGCAUGAAGUCGGAAUUGCUAGUAAUCGCGGAUCAUCAUGCCGCGGUGAAUACGUUCCCGGGCCUUGUACACACCGCCCGUCACACCAUGAGAGUUGAGAACACCCGAAGUCUGUAGCAUAACCGCAAGGAGUGCGCAGCCGAAGGUGGGCUUAGCGAUUAGGGUGAAGUCGUAACAAGGUAGCCGUA